rnacentral:sRNA from 1 species
GGCCGAGCCCUGCCGGGUGUGCCCUGGGCAGGAGCUGUGGUUACUCAUUUCCGUGCGGCAGCUCGAGGCCGGGGCCACAGCGGUGCUCGGGAAACUUCGUGUGGCAAGGCCAUCUCCCCGGUUGUUGUGUACAGCCACGAAACAAAAAAACAGUGGCCAGAACCUGGAAGAGGACAUGGGUCAGAGUGAACAGAAGGCAGAUCCUCCUGCUACAGAGAAGACCCUCCUGGAAGAGAAGGUCAAGUUGGAGGAGCAGCUGAAGGAGACUGUGGAAAAAUAUAAACGAGCUUUGGCAGACACUGAGAACUUACGGCAGAGGAGCCAGAAAUUGGUGGAGGAGGCAAAAUUAUAUGGCAUUCAAGCCUUCUGCAAGGACUUGUUGGAGGUGGCAGAUGUUCUGGAGAAGGCAACACAGUGUGUUCCA